CAGCAGCCGCGGGAAUACGUAGGGUGCGAGCGUUAAUCGGAAUUACUGGGCGUAAAGCGUGCGCAGGCGGUUGUGUAAGACAGGUGUGAAAUCCCCGGGCUUAACCUGGGAACUGCGCUUGUGACUGCACAGCUAGAGUAUGGCAGAGGGGGGUGGAAUUCCACGUGUAGCAGUGAAAUGCGUAGAGAUGUGGAGGAACACCGAUGGCGAAGGCAGCCCCCUGGGCCAAUACUGACGCUCAUGCACGAAAGCGUGGGGAGCGAACAGGAUUAGAUACCCCUGUAGUCCCUGUCUCUUAUAA
rnacentral:rRNA from 1 species